UAUCAGACUAGAGGAGGUUUCUAUCAGACUAGAGGAGGUUUCUAUCAGACUAGAGGAGGUUUCUAUCAGACUAGAGGAGGUUUCUAUCAGACUAGAGGUACAUGGAGGUUUCUAUCAGACUAGAGGAGGUUUCUAUCAGACUAGAGGAGGUUUCUAUCAGACUAGAGGAGGUUUCUAUCAGACUAGAGGUACAUGGAGGUGUGGAAUAAGAAUAUAUAAACAUAUAAACAGCUCCAACUCUACCUGUGGUCCAAACAGGGUUUAAACACAG
ensembl:lncRNA